AUUACUAAUGUAUAAAUAAGGGGAAAAAGCUUGAGAUAGUUGGACUUGUUUGGGGACUCUCCCUCUGGAUACACCUUACGGUGUCCACCGGCAGAUGGAAGAUUUGGCCACCAGAAGCCUGCUGCUGUUUCACUCAAGAGCCACACUCUGCUUUGCAACAAAAACGGCACCUCUGAGUCUGGCACCCAAGUGGUCACCUGCCCCUGAAGCCGGCCCUGCUCCUGACUCCUCAGCUUUCUGGACAGCGUUGCCAUCUCCACCCUCCCUUUCCUGCUGCCCUCUUUUGCUGGCUCUGCUGCGGGUUGAAAGAAAAUGCAAAGUGCAUGAGUGCUGACCAAGAGUUGUUAAAAUAUACCCCUUGAAGAGAAGAGAACUUAUUGUGAAGAUUUAAGUCUGUGAAGAUAUGCUGGAUUACCAUGGUAGGUAACGUGUGCAAGUAGACAAGAAACAAAAAUAUUACAAAAUGUUACACAUGGCAUAUAAACUGUAUAUUGAACUGUAUGAUGUGAGAAAUUGUAUGUGACUGUGCAGUUAACUAUUGUAAUACAAGCAAAUGGGCAGAAUUAAAGUUGUACAUAUACCCCUAACUGUUCCAUUUUCUGACUGUUGCGUUAACAGUACAACCUUAACACUCCAUUAAGAUAAUGUGCUCCGUGGAAUUACCAACCCAAAUGUACUUUUCAUGCCUGUAUAACUUCUUUCAAUGUUCAACUGAAAAUACAUUUGAGUGUAUAUGCCUUUAAGAGUAGCGUGCAUAGCAGGAGUUCCCACCUCUCUUAAUUGUAACCAUUUUCAGCUAUGCUCGUCAGUCACAUUCACAGUUUGCAAGAGGGAGCAGCUCUUUUACCUCCUAGGGUUUAGACUUUAGACUAUACUAGAGCCAAAAGCCAGUGCAAGUCAGCGUCACUACAUCGAAGUCUAGUUUGCAGAUAGAUUUGCUGAAGGGAAAUGUUUUUCUUUCAGUUCAGGCUGAACUGCACAGGAUGUUAUGGAGAGUGUAUAAAAUGGAGCAUAGUGUCUCAGACAACUAGAGAUGCAGUCUUCGUAUGUGCAACAACAGACCAGUAAGACUGAUACAGUAGGAGCUCCAGGAAACAGACUUGUACAUAAAUAUUGGGCUCUGUGCCAGUUAAACCAUUAACCUGGAGGCAUAUUUAAAAACUUUGUACGUACAGAGCUUUCCACACGGCUAUUUUUUAAACCCUUUAUGUAUAUUUAAUAAUACUUACCUCCAGGCUAUCAAACUAUUAAAAAAAUAAUCACAAUUAAUCACAGUUUUAAUUGCACGGUAA